GGGUUGUGAGGUUAAGCGACUAAGCGUACACGGUGGAUGCCCUGGCAGUCAGAGGCGAUGAAGGACGUGCUAAUCUGCGAUAAGCGUCGGUAAGGUGAUAUGAACCGUUAUAACCGGCGAUUUCCGAAUGGGGAAACCCAGUGUGAUUCGUCACACUAUCAUUAACUGAAUCCAUAGGUUAAUGAGGCGAACCGGGGGAACUGAAACAUCUAAGUACCCCGAGGAAAAGAAAUCAACCGAGAUUCCCCCAGUAGCGGCGAGCGAACGGGGAGCAGCCCAGAGCCUGAAUCAGUGUGUGUGUUAGUGGAAGCGUCUGGAAAGGCGCGCGAUACAGGGUGACAGCCCCGUACACAAAAAUGCACAUGCUGUGAGCUCGAUGAGUAGGGCGGGACACGUGGUAUCCUGUCUGAAUAUGGGGGGACCAUCCUCCAAGGCUAAAUACUCCUGACUGACCGAUAGUGAACCAGUACCGUGAGGGAAAGGCGAAAAGAACCCCGGCGAGGGGAGUGAAAAAGAACCUGAAACCGUGUACGUACAAGCAGUGGGAGCACAGAGCAAUCUGUGUGACUGCGUACCUUUUGUAUAAUGGGUCAGCGACUUAUAUUCUGUAGCAAGGUUAACCGAAUAGGGGAGCCGAAGGGAAACCGAGUCUUAACUGGGCGUUAAGUUGCAGGGUAUAGACCCGAAACCCGGUGAUCUAGCCAUGGGCAGGUUGAAGGUUGGGUAACACUAACUGGAGGACCGAACCGACUAAUGUUGAAAAAUUAGCGGAUGACUUGUGGCUGGGGGUGAAAGGCCAAUCAAACCGGGAGAUAGCUGGUUCUCCCCGAAAGCUAUUUAGGUAGCGCCUCGUGAAUUCAUCUCCGGGGGUAGAGCACUGUUUCGGCAAGGGGGUCAUCCCGACUUACCAACCCGAUGCAAACUGCGAAUACCGGAGAAUGUUAUCACGGGAGACACACGGCGGGUGCUAACGUCCGUCGUGAAGAGGGAAACAACCCAGACCGCCAGCUAAGGUCCCAAAGUCAUGGUUAAGUGGGAAACGAUGUGGGAAGGCCCAGACAGCCAGGAUGUUGGCUUAGAAGCAGCCAUCAUUUAAAGAAAGCGUAAUAGCUCACUGGUCGAGUCGGCCUGCGCGGAAGAUGUAACGGGGCUAAACCAUGCACCGAAGCUGCGGCAGCGACGCUUAUGCGUUGUUGGGUAGGGGAGCGUUCUGUAAGCCUGUGAAGGUGUACUGUGAGGUAUGCUGGAGGUAUCAGAAGUGCGAAUGCUGACAUAAGUAACGAUAAAGCGGGUGAAAAGCCCGCUCGCCGGAAGACCAAGGGUUCCUGUCCAACGUUAAUCGGGGCAGGGUGAGUCGACCCCUAAGGCGAGGCCGAAAGGCGUAGUCGAUGGGAAACAGGUUAAUAUUCCUGUACUUGGUGUUACUGCGAAGGGGGGACGGAGAAGGCUAUGUUGGCCGGGCGACGGUUGUCCCGGUUUAAGCGUGUAGGCUGGUUUUCCAGGCAAAUCCGGAAAAUCAAGGCUGAGGCGUGAUGACGAGGCACUACGGUGCUGAAGCAACAAAUGCCCUGCUUCCAGGAAAAGCCUCUAAGCAUCAGGUAACAUCAAAUCGUACCCCAAACCGACACAGGUGGUCAGGUAGAGAAUACCAAGGCGCUUGAGAGAACUCGGGUGAAGGAACUAGGCAAAAUGGUGCCGUAACUUCGGGAGAAGGCACGCUGAUAUGUAGGUGAAGUCCCUCGCGGAUGGAGCUGAAAUCAGUCGAAGAUACCAGCUGGCUGCAACUGUUUAUUAAAAACACAGCACUGUGCAAACACGAAAGUGGACGUAUACGGUGUGACGCCUGCCCGGUGCCGGAAGGUUAAUUGAUGGGGUUAGCGCAAGCGAAGCUCUUGAUCGAAGCCCCGGUAAACGGCGGCCGUAACUAUAACGGUCCUAAGGUAGCGAAAUUCCUUGUCGGGUAAGUUCCGACCUGCACGAAUGGCGUAAUGAUGGCCAGGCUGUCUCCACCCGAGACUCAGUGAAAUUGAACUCGCUGUGAAGAUGCAGUGUACCCGCGGCAAGACGGAAAGACCCCGUGAACCUUUACUAUAGCUUGACACUGAACAUUGAGCCUUGAUGUGUAGGAUAGGUGGGAGGCUUUGAAGUGUGGACGCCAGUCUGCAUGGAGCCGACCUUGAAAUACCACCCUUUAAUGUUUGAUGUUCUAACGUUGACCCGUAAUCCGGGUUGCGGACAGUGUCUGGUGGGUAGUUUGACUGGGGCGGUCUCCUCCUAAAGAGUAACGGAGGAGCACGAAGGUUGGCUAAUCCUGGUCGGACAUCAGGAGGUUAGUGCAAUGGCAUAAGCCAGCUUGACUGCGAGCGUGACGGCGCGAGCAGGUGCGAAAGCAGGUCAUAGUGAUCCGGUGGUUCUGAAUGGAAGGGCCAUCGCUCAACGGAUAAAAGGUACUCCGGGGAUAACAGGCUGAUACCGCCCAAGAGUUCAUAUCGACGGCGGUGUUUGGCACCUCGAUGUCGGCUCAUCACAUCCUGGGGCUGAAGUAGGUCCCAAGGGUAUGGCUGUUCGCCAUUUAAAGUGGUACGCGAGCUGGGUUUAGAACGUCGUGAGACAGUUCGGUCCCUAUCUGCCGUGGGCGCUGGAGAAUUGAGGGGGGCUGCUCCUAGUACGAGAGGACCGGAGUGGACGCAUCACUGGUGUUCGGGUUGUCAUGCCAAUGGCACUGCCCGGUAGCUAAAUGCGGAAGAGAUAAGUGCUGAAAGCAUCUAAGCACGAAACUUGCCCCGAGAUGAGUUCUCCCUGACUCCUUGAGAGUCCUGAAGGAACGUUGAAGACGACGACGUUGAUAGGCCGGGUGUGUAAGCGCAGCGAUGCGUUGAGCUAACCGGUACUAAUGAACCGUGAGGCUUAACCUUACAACGCCGAAGCUGUU
rnacentral:rRNA from 1 species